UUUGGCAAUGGGCGAAAGCCUGACCCAGCAACGCCGCGUGAGGGAUGAAGUAUUUCGGUAUGUAAACCUCGAAAGAAUGGGAAGAAUAAAUGACGGUACCAUUUAUAAGCUCCGGCUAACUACGUGCCAGCAGCCGCGGUAAUACGUAGGGAGCAAGCGUUGUUCGGAUUUACUGGGCGUAAAGGGCGCGUAGGCGGCGCGGUAAGUCACUUGUGAAAUCUCUGGGCUUAACUCAGAACGGCCAAGUGAUACUGCUGUGCUAGAGUGCGGAAGAGGCAACCGGAAUUCUUGGUGUAGCGGUGAAAUGCGUAGAUAUCAAGAGGAACACCUGAGGCGAAGGCGGGUUGCUGGGCCGACACUGACGCUGAUGCGCGAAAGCCAGGGGAGCAAACG
rnacentral:rRNA from 1 species